rnacentral:rRNA from 1 species
GAUGAACGCUAGCGGCAGGCUUAAUACAUGCAAGUCGAGGGGCAGCAUGGUUGUAGCAAUACAGCUGACGGCGACCGGCAAACGGGUGCGGAACACGUACGCAACUUACCCAUAACUGAUGAAUACCCCUCCGAAAGGAGGAUUAAUACAUCGUAAUACUUUAGAGGGGCAGCCCUUGAUAGUUAUAGCUCCGGCGGUUAUGGAUUGGCGUGCGGCUGAUGAGGUAGUUGGUUGAGGUAACGGCCCACCAAGCCUGCGAUCAGUAACUGGUAUGAGAGCACGACCAGUCACACGGGAACUGAGACACGGGCCCGACUCCUACGGGAGGCAGCAGUAAGGAAUAUUGGUCAAUGGACGCAAGUCUGAACCAGCCAUGCCGCGUGAAGGAUGAAGGUCCUCUGGAUUGUAAACUUCUUUUAUAAGGGAAGAAACCCGGGAAUUCUUUUCCGGUUGACGGUACCUUAGGAAUAAGCACCGGCUAACUCCGUGCCAGCAGCCGCCGUAAAAC